rnacentral:rRNA from 1 species
AAGACCUUGCGCUUUUGGAGCGGCCGAUGUCUGAUUAGCUAGUUGGUGGGGUAAUGGCCUACCAAAGCUUCGAUCAGUAGCUGGUCUGAGAGGACGACCAGCCACACUGGGACUGAGACACGGCCCAGACUCCUACGGGAGGCAGCAGUGGGGAAUUUUGGACAAUGGGCGCAAGCCUGAUCCAGCCAUGCCGCGUGAGUGAAGAAGGCCUUCGGGUUGUAAUGCUCUUUCAGCCGGGAAGAAAAGGCUACGACGAAUAAUCGUAGCUCAUGACGGUACCGGAAGAAGAAGCACCGGCUAACUACGUGCCAGCAGCCGCGGUAAUACGUAGGGUGCGAGCGUUAAUCGGAAUUACUGGGCGUAAAGGGUGCGCAGGCGGUUUUGUAAGUCAGAUGUGAAAUCCCCGGGCUUAACCUGGGAACU